CCUCCCAAUGCUCAUUCAGUGUCUCCUCGUCUAAUGAUACCUUCUUCACUGCCACCAGACUGAUUUUCCUCUCUAGUCAGUCCUCUCACACCUCACCCCUCUGUCGGUUCUUACAUUGGCUAACUGUAUCCUAUAGGAGUCAAUUCAAAGUGCUAACCCAUACCUAUAAAGCACUGAACAAUUCUAGCCCCUCAUAUCUAUUCACAGAUCCAUAAGUAUGCCCCAUCUCGUUCUCUCCGCUCUGCCAGUGACC